UACGUAGGGGGCAAGCGUUGUCCGGAUUUAUUGGGCGUAAAGAGCGUGUAGGCGGCCAGAUAGGUCCGUUGUGAAAACUGGAGGCUUAACCUCCAGCUGUCGAUGGAAACCAUCUGGCUAGAGUCCGGAAGAGGAGAGUGGAAUUCCUGGUGUAGCGGUGAAAUGCGUAGAUAUCAGGAGGAACACCCGAGGCGAAGGCGGCUCUCUGGGUCGUACCUGACGCUGAGGCGCGAAAGCGUGGGGAGCGAACGGG
rnacentral:rRNA from 1 species